GAUGCGGCGGCGUGCUACUCUCCCACACCCUGUCGGGUGCAGUACCAUCGCCGUGCCAGGCCUUAGCUUCCGGGUUCGGAAUGGGACCGGGCGUCUCACCUGGGCCAUGGCCGCCG
rnacentral:rRNA from 1 species